rnacentral:rRNA from 1 species
UACAGAGGUCUCAAGCGUUGUUCGGAUUCAUUGGGCGUAAAGGGCGCGUAGGCUGCGGGGUAAGUCGGGUGUGAAAUCUCAGAGCUCAACUCUGAAAUUGCACUUGAUACUGCUCUGCUAGAGGACUGGAGAGGAGAUUGGAAUUCACGGUGUAGCAGUGAAAUGCGUAGAUAUCGUGAGGAAGACCAGUGGCGAAGGCGGAUCUCUGGACCACCUCUGACGCUGAGGCGCGAAAGCCAGGGGAGCAAACGGG